UGUUGUCAGUGAUGAUCCCUAACUUUACCUACCUUGUUUGAGAACAUAUGAGAACUUUCAAAUAUCUGAGACAACA
ensembl:snoRNA SNORD34 Small nucleolar RNA SNORD34